AAUAGUGCUCAGCUGAGGCUGAACUUUAUGCAGCUUCCAUUUGGCUCUGGACACUUGAGCAGUGAGUAUGGCUCUCCUGCAGCUCCCUUCUGACACAUGAUUACGGUGACUACGCCUUGCAGCUUCCCCUACGUUAUAGGCUUUUUAACUUCAUUAUGUGAUCAGGCAUGUUGCCAACUUUGAAGGCCAUUCCACACAUCUGAGUGAUCUGGCUUGCCGUCCAGGUGAUUUAAGUGCCAAUCUUGAUAAAGGUCCGCAUAAGGACCGAAACGUCGAUGAAAUACGGCAUCAACAGUGAACCCGAAUAAAAAUAUACUGAAUUUACAAGUGACUUCAGAGACUAAUUUCUGGGCAACUAAAUAUUUCUGUUUGGCAACAUGGUAAAAUACAUAUUUUUGCCAGAAGUCAAGGUCUAUACAAUACUAAACUACUGUAAAAAUUUCAAGGCACCUGGAGCAAAAUCAUGCUACGUCGCCACUCCCAUUACCGAAGUCUGCUGUUUACCGAAGUCUGUGUCAACUGCUCUCUACGGUCUUUAUUGUAUGGUGGUAACAAAUCCGCUCUUAGAAUUGUAUGGUAGCCAUAAACAAUGCUCUCAAUAUUGUAUGGAAGAAAAAAAGGAUCUCUGUAUAGUAUAGUGGUCACAAAAAUGCACAGUUUUAUACAUUGCCCGAAUAGUAUGCUUCCCACUUGAAAAACUGGAUGGGAGUUUUCAUUUAGGGGUCUAUUCAUGAU